rnacentral:lncRNA from 1 species
GGUGAGCUAUUUGCAAAAUUAGAGCCAGGAGCACAUGUAACAUCCUAGUUGCCAUCAUCAAUGAAGAAAAUGUGGCUACAAUUGAUGAUAUCUAUCAAGAGGAUGAGAUACUCAUUCCAGCUCCAAUUGAAGCAACAGAUGUACUUGAUAGUGUUGAUAUUCUUGUACAUUUUAGUAUGCAUCGAGAACUUGAUGCAGAUGAAUUAAGACAGUUGCAACAACAAAUAGUAGAAUUAGAAUGUGAGUAUCCCGAGGAAGAUAGAG